UGGGGAAUAUUGGACAAUGGGGGAAACCCUGAUCCAGCAACGCCGCGUGGAGGAUGAAGGUCUUCGGAUUGUAAACUCCUGUUAGGGGGGACGAAGGAAUGCCGGCGAAUAGUCGGCAAACUUGACGGUACCCCCAGAGGAAGCCCCGGCUAACUCUGUGCCAGCAGCCGCGGUAAUACAGAGGGGGCAAGCGUUAUUCGGAAUUAUUGGGCGUAAAGGGCGCGUAGGCGGCCUUGUAAGUCUUGGGUGAAAUCCCUCAGCUCAACUGAGGAACUGCCUCGGAUACUGCAGGGCUUGAGGCCGGGAGAGGGUAGUGGAAUUCCCAGUGUAGCGGUGAAAUGCGUAGAUAUUGGGAGGAACACCGGUGGCGAAGGCGGCUACCUGGACCGGUUCUGACGCUGAUGCGCGAAAGCGUGGGUAGCAAACA
rnacentral:rRNA from 1 species